rnacentral:rRNA from 1 species
ACGCACGCUGGCGGCGUGCUUAACCCAUGCAAGUCGAACGGUGAAGCGCCUUCCUUUUUGGUGGGUGUGGAUGAGUGGCGAACGGGUGAGUAACACGUGAGUAACCUGCCCCCUUCUUCUGGAUAACCGCAUGAAAGUGUGGCUAAUACGGGAUAUUCUGGGUCUGUCGCAUGAUGGGUCUGGGAAAGAUAUUGUUUCGGUGGGGGAUGGGCUCGCGGCCUAUCAGCUUGUUGGUGGGGUGAUGGCCUACCAAGGCGGUGACGGGUAGCCGGCCUGAGAGGGUGGACGGUCACACUGGGACUGAGACACGGCCCAGACUCCUACGGGAGGCAGCAGUGGGGAAUAUUGCAUAAUGGGCGCAAGCCUGAUGCAGCGACGCCGCGUGAGGGAUGGAGGCCUUCGGGUUGUGAACCUCUUUCGCCAGUGAAGCAGGCCUGCCUCGUUUGUGGGUGGGUUGACGGUAGCUGGAUAAGAAGCGCCGGCUAACUACGUG